rnacentral:rRNA from 1 species
GUCUACAGCCAUGCUACCUUAAACAAGCCCGAUCCCAUCUGAUCUCAGCAGCUAAGCAGGAUUGGGCCUGGUUAGUACUUACAUGGGAUACCACCUAGGAAGACCAGGUGCUGUAGGCA